UUUUCUUUUGCUUUGAAGUAAUCACCUAUUAUGGGUUGUCUUAAUCUAAUGAAUUUGAUUUUGUUUACCUCCAGUUUCCUGUUUAUUUCGUUAGAUAUGUGACUAUGUCUGGCUAUUGGUUAUCUUGAUCACUUACACCAAAUACUUGGGCGUCCUCUCUUUCAGUCCCCUGACUGUAGAUACUGUUGUUUAUGAUUGGACGCACUGGUUAAGAUUAACAUCAGAACCACGAGCAUGAGCUUUGAACUCAGAGGUAUGAUAGAAC
rnacentral:lncRNA from 1 species